rnacentral:rRNA from 1 species
AUGGGAUGUCCUAGAGACCGCGCUAGCCCUCACUGUGGUCGGCGACGUGGCCAUCCUGGAGCUAGACCUCGACUUCAGGGAGGGGGUGCAGGAAGAGGUGGUGGAGGGGCCCCAAGACGCCGCGUGGAACCCUCGUCUGGUGGGCCAGCGGUGGAGCUGGUCGUGCACGGCGCUGGAGAUGGCCGGCUCGGUGGGUGUCGGCCCAUGAUCAGACACGCCUCCGCGGUCAUCAGAGCAGGAGCACGAGCCACAAGAGGUGGUGGUGCAGCCGCCGCUGGCGCCUCCGGUCUAGUGAGGGCCCCCAGCCCACCUUUGGCAGCCAUCUCCCUACGUCGACCUCACCAGCGACGACGACGAGUAGGACAGCGGCUCCUGAAGACGACGGCGGCCACUGGCGACCGGCCUUUAUCAAACGUUGUUUCAGCGCGAGAUAGAGGUGGAGGCAGAGUCAGGGGAACAGAGGGGCCGAUCAGUGCUUCGCUGGGUGCCAUGAGACCCCUUAUUGGGAAGCUGGACAUGCUGCUGCUAGAUCCCCCACCGGGAUGUUCCUCUACGGAGGCCAUGGACGGGACGUGCCUCCUCAGAGAUGAGGUUGAAAAGAUAAGCUCCUACCUUGAUGACCUGUCAGAGCUGACGGAUCCUCCUCUGAAAGCCAUGUGCUGGAUGAAUGAGGUGCGUGACCUGUCUUAUGACAUGGAGGAUUACAUCAACAGCUUAAUAUUUGUUCCCAACAAUAACAAGACCAUCAGGACCCUCCGCGAAUUGUCCACACAUGUCAAGCCACCCAGGACUCAGGUUAUAAUUGCGGAAACGCUGUUAGAAUUCAGGAUGUAUGUCCAGGAGACUAUUGAACGGCACCAUAGGUACAAUCUCCUUUCUUGCAGGACCUUGAGGCAUAGGUUUGUGUCAAUGGGCCCUAUGCUUCUUCCAACCGCACAUGUAGUGACUGAUGACAUAGUAAUUGAUGGCCGGAUGAACGAAUUUAUCAACUCACUGGCUAACGAUAGGGACCAGCAACUUAAGGUGUCAUGUCUUCUUGGAUCUGCUUGUCUUGGAAAAACCACACUUGCGGAAGUGUUGUACAACAAAUUUGGUAAGAAUUACAGUUGUCGAGCUUUCGUUCGGGUGUCCAAGAAACCUGAUAUGAAAAGAGUUUUCCAUGACAUGCUCUGGCAAAUCCAGCGGCAACGUCCCUCACGGCAUUGCAAGGAAGUUGAACUCAUUGACAAGAUCAAGAAAUAUCUGCAAGAUAAAAGGUAUUUGAUUGUUAUUGAUGAUGUAUGGGCUGCAUCAGUAUGGGAUAUUAUAAAUCAUGCUUGUCCAAAAGAGGGAUACAUAUUCUGCAAUGAUGAUUUGGUGAGGGAAUGGGUGGCAGAAGGUUUUAUCGAUACAAUGGAACGGCAGGACAGGUUGAAAGUUGCAGAGCGCUAUCUCAAUGAACUUAUUUGUAGAAGAUUAAUCCAUCCUAUACGUAUCAACCACAACAAUGAGGUCUUGUCCUGUGCAGUUCAUGAUGUGGUAUAUGAUUUUAUUGCAUCCAAAUCUGCAGAAGAGAAUUUCAUUGUGUCAAUAGACUGCAGUCAAAAGAACGUGAUACUUUCUAAUAAGGUCCGUCGACUAUCUCUCCUCUUUGGCGAUGCAAGAUAUGCCAAGACACCCAUAAACAUCAGGAAGUCUCAAGUUCGGUCACUUGCUUAUUUUGGAUUAUUCAACUGCAUGCCUUGUAUCAGAGAUUUCAAGCUUCUUCGUGUUCUAAACCUUCAACUAUCAUUUCAUGGCGACUCUUCUUGUGACCCUGUAGACCUUGCUGGGAUUUCAGAACUGAUUCAACUGAAAUAUUUUAAGAUUGGAUGCGGUUUCUAUAUAAAACUGCCAACCGAUGGGCUAAAAUGUUUGCAAACACUAGAUAUUACAGAUGUGGUAGUCAUUAGGUCAUCAGUGGACAUCAUUCUCCCAAAAUUGUUGCACCUCAGUCUGCCUUUCGCAAGAAGUUUGUUGUAUUGGAACGGCAUUAAGUGGAUUCUAGGAGGAGCUGGCGGACUGAACUCCUUGGAGGAUCUUCAUCUUACCGUUUCUUCUACAGAUUCCAAUGAUCUGGAGAGAAACAUCAAAUCUUUGGGUCAUUUAAUCCAACGACAUCAAAACUUGAGAACUGUAGUAAUGACCCAUGGUUCCAAGGUUAAAAAUAGUGUGGUUAGUAGUACUACAAAAUUAAUCACCACCAAGCCAUCCAAGGAGAUUGCAGUGAAAGAACUUCACAUGAUUUGUGUUGAUAUUCUCAGGGAAUUGUGUGCCCUCACUGCUCUAUCUCUGUAUGUGCGAAGCCAGGGCACUAAAAAGAUCAUCUUUGACAAGCACGGGUUCUCAGCUCUCAAAUACUUCAAGUUGAGGUUCACGACUGGGGUAGCUUGGAUAAACUUUGAGAAGGAUGCAAUGCCUAGUCUCUGGAAGCUCAAAUUAAUUUUCAAUGCCGUCCCCCGAAUGAACCUAAAACCAUACUUUCUUUGGACUCACUCCGACCGGCACGAACUAUAUAAGCGGGGUGAUGCACUGAUCAGCAUCGACCAUAUGCCAGGUCUUAGAGAGAUCUAUGCAAAAUUUGGUGGUGCAGCUGCUGAUGUAGAGUAUAUCAAGAGUAAGAGGAUCGGCAUUAGUAAUGAUCCAAGCAAUCCUGAAAUCAACAUGCAAUGGGUAGAGGACCAAAGCAGAAAUCAGAAACAGCAAAUGAAUGAGAUUCUGGAGAUAGACUUUGCAGAUGUAACAUUGGAUAGAGCAGCUGCUGAAAGGUCACCAGAGUCUGUGCAUGAAUUCACACUCGAUGAGAUCAUGUCCGCCACCAGCAACUUCGCCAAUGCACACUUCAACAGUGACCACUACAAGAAAAGGAACCUCGACAAGACAUUCUGCCGCCCCGGCAUCUACAAGGGCUUCUUUGAAAACAGAAAGGUCGUUGUCAAGUGCUUCAACAAGUUCAGUGGCGACCAUGAGUGGCUGCCACAACAGCUUUUCAGUAACCAAUCUCAACAGCUGGUCGAUGAGACAGAGCUGGAGUGCCUCGCAAUGGUGCAUGAUCCUCAUCUAGUGAAGCUGCUUGGCUUCUGUGACUACGACAAUCACAGGAUGCUCGUAUACGCUGACAUGCCCACGGAAAGCCUCAAGGACCACCUUUCCAACGGUGAUACACAAGGGUCGUCAUCAACAAAACGUCAAGAGGAACAGCUACCAUGGUUAACGCGUCUCAGGAUCGCCAUUGGAGCGGCCAAGGGCCUGGCUUUCCUACACGAGGCGGACAAGCCGAUGAUCCACGGUGAUUUCAAAGUCUCCAACAUUCUGCUUGGCUCGUUUACGGUGCACCCCGGUAAGGAAGAGAAACGAGAAAAAAAUGACUAUGGUUUGACCUCAAGUCCAUCUUCUGCUGCGUUCAUCUCGAUGACUAGGCACCAAUUUGAACCUAAUAUUCGCAAACACUACUUUAGCACCCUACCAAAUGUUUUGGACCGCAAACCGAAGCUGUUUGGCUUUGGCUUCCCGAAAGACUAUCCAGGGGCCAAAACGGCCGAAAGCGACGUGUACAACUUCGGUGUGGUGCUCCUAGAGCUUCUGGCUGGGCGAUCUGUUGUCGAUGAGAAGCGAUUUGUUAUGGAGUGGUCAUGUGCCUACCCCCCGUUCAAGGAGGACAAGCUGAUUGAUAUCAUUGACCCGAGCCUUGAGGGGGAAUACUCGUUGUCGGCAGCGUAUAGCACUGUGGAGAUCGUGAGUCAGUGCCUGAACAGCAUGCCCAAGGAGCGGCCAUCUAUGCGGGACGUCGUGGAAGCGCUUGAGCCCCUGCUCAACCUUGGCGACAAUGACAAGGCCGAGGAUGUAAAUUGGGAGGUUUCUUCCUUAUAUCCCGCGUCAUGGGACCACCAUCAUGAAUUCCAACGGGACGAGCUCAUGUUGGCCACCAGCCACUUCUCAGCGGAAAACAUUCUCGGCAAGGCUGACUACGGCCACAUCUACAAGGGUGCAAUCAACGGCAAGCUCUUGGUGGCCGUCAUGAAACUCCAUCCAGACUACAAUCGCCACAGGCUUAAACCAGAGGGAGGGCUGCUGUGGUGUUUUGAGAGAUUGCGCCAUCCUCAUAUCCUGAGUCUGCUGGGCUACUGCAACCAAGACGGGCACGGUAUACUCGUCUAUGAGCACAUGCAGAGGGGUAGACUCCUGAACCACAUCUUGGAGACCAAUCGCAUUGGGUCAAUACCAUGGUUAUCACGGCUCAAGAUCGCCGUUGGAGCAGCUAAAGGUCUGGCUUACCUGGAGGACGAGCGGAAGAUCUAUGCUCCCUUGGACGACGAGCGGAGCAUCUACUAUAGUGGUUUCAAAGCUUCCUGCAUUAUGGUUGACUCGGAUCAUACAGCGAAGCUGUUUGGCUUUCAAUUGGUGAAGGAGAAUCCACAGGACAAGGCGAGUGAAAGCGAUGUGUACAACUUUGGUCUAGUGCUCCUACAGCUGCUGGCCGGGGGGGCAUCAAUCAACGAGAAGCGACUGCUUCUGAAAAAAAAUCCGGUGAAGUGGUCGCGUUCCUCUCUCAAUAAGUACAAUCUGCACCGAAUCAUGGACCCUAGACUGGAGGGGCAAUACUCAUUUUCGGCAGCUUCUAGCACUGCAACCAUCGCACGCCGGUGCCUGCAGGACAAGGAGCGACCGUCGAUGCGUGACGUAGUGCUAGCCCUUGAGCCGCUGCUCAGCGAUGGGCGUCACUCAAGGGCGGUACGGUGGACACCCUCGUUGUUACUCGGCCGAUAUGGUGCUGUAAAAGGGAGAGGCAAAGCUAAGCAUGGUAAGGAGGUGGAAGAACCAACAACGGGGGCUUCUUCCGUCACUCUUCCCGGCACACUGAACUCGUGA